AGAGUUUGAUCAUGGCUCAGAACGAACGCUGGCGGCGCGCCUAAUACAUGCAAGUCGAACGAGAAUGUGUAGCAAUACACAUGUACAGUGGCGAACGGGUGAGGACUACAUGGGUAACCUACCCUCGAGUGGGGAAUAACUAGCCGAAAGGUUAGCUAAUACCGCGUACGCUUCCCGGACUGCGGUUCGGGAAGGAAAGCGAUACCGUGGGUAUCGCGCUCUUGGAUGGGCUCAUGCCCUAUCAGCUUGUUGGUGAGGUAACGGCUCACCAAGGCUUCGACGGGUAGCUGAUCUGAGAGGAUGAUCAGCCACACUGGCACUGCGACACGGGCCAGACUCCUACGGGAGGCAGCAGUAAGGAAUAUUGCGCAAUGGGCGAAAGCCUGACGCAGCGACGCCGCGUGGGGGAUGAAGGUCUUCGGAUUGUAAACCCCUUUCGGGAGGGAAGAUGGGAUGGGGUAACCCAUUCGGACGGUACCUCCAGAAGCAGCCACGGCUAACUUCGUGCCAGCAGCCGCGGUAAUACGAAGGUGGCAAGCGUUGUUCGGAUUUACUGGGCGUACAGGGAGCGUAGGCGGUUGGGUAAGCCCUCCGUGAAAUCUCCAGGCUUAACCUGGAAAGUGCAGAGGGGACUGCUCAGCUAGAGGAUGGGGGAG
rnacentral:rRNA from 1 species